GUGUAGCAAUACACUCGCUGGCGACCGGCAAACGGGUGCGGAACACGUACGCAAUCUACCCAUAACUGAGGAAUAGCCCUCCGAAAGGAGGAUUAAUACUUCGUAACCUUAUUGAGUGGCAUCACUUAAUGAGUAUAGCUCCGGCGGUUAUGGAUGAGCGUGCGGCUGAUUAGGUAGUUGGCGGGGUAACGGCCCACCAAGCCUGCGAUCAGUAACUGGUGUGAGAGCACGACCAGUCACACGGGCACUGAGACACGGGCCCGACUCCUACGGGAGGCAGCAGUAAGGAAUAUUGGUCAAUGGACGCAAGUCUGAACCAGCCAUGCCGCGUGAAGGAUGAAGGUCCUCUGGAUUGUAAACUUCUUUUAUAGGGGACGAAACCCGGGUAUUCUUACCCGAUUGACGGUACCCUAGGAAUAAGC
rnacentral:rRNA from 1 species